GCGAUAAAUUACCUUUCAUACAUUCGGUAGUAAAGUAUGGGAAUGGAAUUUAAAAAGUGUAUCAUUUUAAAUGCAUCGUGAAGUUUUUGUAUUAAAUUGUAAUGUACAACAAGAGAGAUUCAGAUUUCCUAUUUUAAGCUUUUUAAAAUUCAUUUACCAAACGAAACCAGCUGAAAAUUACCCCAAAUGCACAAAUUUAAAUUUGUACCCAUGUCAGUUUUGGGCCACAUUAGAACUGUCACGAUGCUCAAAAUUCACACAACCACCCUGUUCGAGACCAUCUGCCAAAUGGGCUGAAUGCGUGUGUGUGCGUAAGCUUGCUGAUGAGAAAAAUCGACCAACGACUAUCGUGCAUGUGUGUGCGUGAUCUUUUCUGCUUGUUUUAAGCGUUCGAUUCGUGCGAAAUUGAUGGUAAAUCAAGUGAACUUUAUAUUAUUCGAGAUUUUCAAGCUCAUUUCUAAUGCAUUCACAUAUUUGGCGAACAAUUGUGACGUUAUGAGGUGCAGAAAAUAGUCGGCGUCAGUGUUGGACCGCUAAUAAUACGCAGUGUUGUGGUGUGUGUGUGAUGUGCAUUGCACGAACACAGUGACCGUUUUGGACGUUGUCAAUAUAAAAAAGAGCAUACGAUGGUGAGAAGUCGGCCAUUUCUAACUGGUGUGUGAAGCGGAGCAGACGUUUCGUGCGUGAGGUUCUGCGAGCAUUGCCGCGCGGGCGCCGGGUGUGUCUCCCGGUAGCACCCCCGGUAGCACCCCCGGUUGUUACUGGAAGGGCGUUGCUGCUGCAGUGGCGGCAGCUGUGCGUAGCUUGGCUGGCGUGUGGCAAACCGGCAUCGCAGUUCAGUUGGCCCUCGGAUGCGGUCAACGGAGCACGAUUGUUGCAACAAAAUGGCUGCCGUCUGGUGAAAAACGUGCGCGGCAAAGCGUUGGCGUUAUUUCCGUGGAUGGCGUCAUGUCGGCCUGCUGCAAGGUUAGAAAAUCAGUGCGUGUGUCGGGACCGGUUUCACCAGCAUGGAACCAGCGGCCGUUAGACUUAAAAACUAGAAAAUGUGUUCUCAUUGACGUUCAGCAUGGACCACCGUAAGGAAACGAUCCAUCGCGUCGCAUACUUCCCCAUCAACGUGCGUUGCAACCGCGUGGCUCGUCUCUGUUCGUGCUGAAGCGGCUCAUGUUCCCGGUAUUUGAAGCUGGCGGCGGAGACGCGCUGGUACGCGGUGUGAAAACCAUGGUUAACGAAUACACCAACACCACGGCACUUCUUAUUCAUACAUGCGCAUAAGUCAAUGUGUGUGUGUGUGUGUGUGGGUAUAAAUCAUCGCGAUUUACGCCUAGGAGUGGAUCGCAAUCGGGAGAGCGAAAGAGAUGCAGUAAAAGACCGACUAUUCGGCUUUUUCAGCACUAAGUCUCAGCAGCUCUUCUUUCUUCAGGCCGAUCGCAUGGAAAGGCGUUCAGGCUGAAAAGAUCUGUUAAACAACCACCUAAAUUUCGGAUGUAACAUCUAGUAUAAAACCUUACACCAUUGUGAAUAAGGUACACUGAUACAGCAUCAGCCCCUUAGCGGAUAGUGACCAGCAAUUGCAUUGACGCCAUUGUGGAUUAGGUAUGUCACUAUAGCAUCAGUGCCAUUGUGGAUGCGAUGCGGCUAUACAGCGUCAGCUCCAUCAUGUAAGCUGUGCGGCGAAAGUGGCACCUCUUUAUUCUAAUUCCCUCAAACAACCACUAAAAUUUCGGAUAUUAUUCAAAGCCUAAAUCAUUGAGGUCGUCCGUUGUAGUAGGAAGUUUCGCGAUACAUUAAACAACCACUCAAAUUUCGGAUGUUAACAUGUGAUAUGCAUUGCCAAUCGCACUCUGAUACUUAAACAUCGGGUAACCGAGAAAAACCCGCUUAAUCGUAAAAGAUCUUUGUUCGUGUAGUUCGAAAUCGUAAUCCAUAUGCCACUUGGAUGUAUGGAUGUUAACUUAGCGAAAUGUUUUUAAGUGGCGACCUGCCAAGGAACGUAGAAUGUAAUAAACGCGGAAAUUAAAUUUCAUGCGCUGCAUGGGAGAAAGAGAUCAAA